AUUGAACGCUGGCGGCAGGCCUAACACAUGCAAGUCGAGCGAGCGGCGGACGGGUGAGUAAUGUAUGGGGACUGCCCGAUAGCGGGGGAUAACUACUGGAAACGGUAGCUAAUACCGCAUACUAUCGGAUAACCCAUAUGGGAUUAGCUAGUAGGUGAGGUAAUGGCUCACCUAGGCGACGAUCCCUAGCUGGUCUGAGAGGUUGAUCAGCCACACGGGGACUGAGACACGGCCCAGACUCCUACGGAGGCAGCAGUGGGGAAUAUUGGGCAAUGGACGCAAGCCUGAUGGAGCAAUGCCGCGGGUGUGAAGAAGGCCCUCGGAUUGUAAAGUACUUUCGGUCGGGAGGCGUUACCGACAGAAGAAGCACCGGCUAACUCCGUGACAGCAGCCGCGGUAAUAC
rnacentral:rRNA from 1 species